CUGCGAGAGACACAGGACCCUACUGAGUUUUCUGGAGAAGCUGGAUAUGUUAAGCUAGCUAUCUGCAAGACUUUAGGUCUGGAUGAUAUCUCCCCUCUGGCAUUCAGGAAAUACCAUCAAAGAUCCAGCAUCUUUCAGCAUCACUCCCCAGGAGGGCUAUUCCAACUCUUAUUCCCCAAAGCCUCCACACUGACCCAGAUAUUCUCAGCCUGGGCUACUGAACUCUAGGAAAAUAAAGACCAAGACCUUGAACUUCACUUAUCUGGUCAAGCUGACCAACUACUCCG